GUCGCCGCGUUUGCCUCGUGAGUUUCAACCGUACGAUACAAAAGCAAAUACUGUUGUAUCCUGUACACAAAUUAAUCGACGGAACUUCAUCCGAAGAAAAUUAAAUCAUCGUUGUUAUUAUUUGAAAAUUUUUCAUCCCCCCCCUUUUUUUUUCAUUGCCAAACGUGAGAUUACAUCGUUCGCAUAGUGAUCCAUAUUUUGGUUCAUUUUUUUUUUCGUUGGAAACAAGAAGAGAAAAUUUCAUAGAGAAUAAUGAUAAAAAUGUAGAAAAAAAACGGAUGAAAUAUUGGAUUGAAUCAAAUUACUGUCGAAAACCGAUGUGUUAAAUAACGAAAGUACUCACUUUUAUUAUUAAUAACUGAUUAAAAUUUUCGUUACGAUUGAUGAUAAAAAGAAAAAAAAAAAGGAGAGGAAAGUAUAAACUUGCGUAGGAUAUGAUUCAAUGGAAUAAAGAACUGAGAAAGAAAAGAAACCCGCGAAUUGUGAUUAUCGUUAACGACUGUGAAUAAAAAAAAAACAAUAAGAAAAUAAAAAAAAAAAAUAUUGUGCGGAUCGGAGGUUAAAAACUUUACAAUAAAGUAACGCUCUGACUCGAAUUAAACAAUAAGACGAAUCGUUGUGCUGCGUUACGAUGAAAAAAACAGCGAAAAUCGAAAUGAAAGAAAAAUUGUGAAUUGAAGCAAUUUAUGUACACGAAUGUUACACACGCAUAACGGGAAGCGAGUAAUUAAAAACGGUUAAGGAUAAUGUGAUCGUCGUUCGAGACGGCCGUUAUUAAAGAAUGAAAAACAGAAUGUGAAGUAUUUAACCCUAUGCCAUGGGAAGAAGAACAACGGUCUCGGUAUAAUACUGAACAUAGCUGCUAGAGAACAACGGAUCCUACCGGCUUCCCAACCGACUGUGAAGGAAGAUUGUAUUACUGCGGCACGAGAUAUGUCCAUCGCGGAAGUUUGAUCGCUGCAUCGCUGCAUAGCCUCACCUCCCCCCUCUCCCCCCCAUCAAUAAUGCAUAAGGAUUCGCUGAUAUCUAGGGUCAAGAUGAACGGGACAGAAGGACCUCCUGAAGGCUGAGCUGAGAACGUCAAGGCCCGGAGAUGUGGCCGAGCACGGCACUUCAAGCUUCAGGCGUUCUCGUCCUUUUGACCGUUAUGACGACGACGGUCGUCGUUUCAGAGUCGGGAAGCACCGACGACGUCCCCAGGGAUAUCGUGAAAUCCGGGUAUAGGAAAGACGGGGAAGAAUACCCGGUUCACGGAACGCCUUCGACCACCGGUGUGGACAACGACGCCGAAGAGUAUUACAAGUUGAACGUAACCUCGCCAAGGUCAAACGUCGUGGACGACAUCCGCGCAGUUUCAACGUCCACCACGUUCACCACCGGCGCGGAACGAGACGAGGGGCAAAAAAUCGGCGAGGAGGGAGGCGCCGAGACGAUGAAAUUAUCAUCGGGAGAAGGUCGGGCGACUCGAGUCGAGGUUCGAAUGAACGAGUCGUUGGCUCCGUUUGAUCCGUCGGACGUUUUCCACUCGGCUCGUGAGAUUUCCGAUCAUGUAUUCACCGAGCAAACGAAUCACUCGAACGUUUACGACGUCCGAGAGAUUUCGGAGGUCGAAACCGAGCGCUCGGUGUCGGUAUUCGAUCAAAUAUUACCGCCCGAGAACGUGAGGGCGAUAUCUUUUCAAAUACCAAAUUCCGAGGGCGAUAAAAUCGUCGGGACGAAUUCGUUCGGCGGUAUUAAAAAUACGGAGAAACUCUCGGCCCUCGGCAAUGCCAAGGAGUCUUACUCGAAGACCUCGGCGGACUCGAUUAGCCAGAAGGACAAGAACGAGGGCGAUCGUUACAGACAGGAAAAAAAUCAACUCAACCAAAAAGCUCCGAAAGCCUUCUACGAAAUUAUAUCCGUACUGACCACGGAAGCCGCGGCUUCCCACGUGGAAUCCGACGACUCCGUCGAACCCGUCGCCCCACAAGGUAACGCGAGAAAAUUCAUCUUACCCACCAUACCCUGGAUGGCCAGUUCCAUGGGGAAAUACGGACCCUAUUUCGAAGACGGUCCCGAGGAUAAAAAUAUCACAGCGAGGAUCGGGUCCACCGUGUUGUUGGACUGCAAAAUCGGCAUGCUGCACAACAAAACGGUGACCUGGUUGCAGCGCAGCAAGGACUCGAUUCAUCUUUUAACGGUAGCUAGACAAGUUUACAGCGCCGAUCAACGCGUCAGUCUAAGUUUCAGAUAUCCCAGUAACUGGAGACUGCAAAUAUUAUACGCGUCCCUCAGAGAUUCCGGACUUUACGAAUGUCAAGUCGCUACGCAUCCGCCGAGGAUAAAAAAAAUCAACCUCACCGUUACCGCUCCAGUCUUGACGAUUGUUGACGACGCCGGGAGGGUCGUUGCGGCUGGGGAAAGACACCUCAAAGCCGGAAGUGUCUUGAAACUUAGUUGCGAGGCUAGAGACAUUCGCGAAGAGGUGGGAGAGACCGUCGUGUGGACCAGAGGUGAUGAAACACUCGCCGAGAACGUCAGUGAAAAUAAAACGACGGAAUUCAUCGGCGGGGAAGAAGUUCAAGUCGUAGUUAGUACAGUUUCCGUUGACAGAGCGACGCCGAGACACGCCGGUAACUACAGUUGUUCCGUACCCGGAAGAACAAGAUCUACAGUUGCGGUUCACGUGCUCAAUGGUGAACUUCCGGCCGCCGUACACGACGGCAACGGAGUAUCUCGCGCCGUCUUAAACUUGUGGUUGGUACAUCUCACCAUCAGUUACAUAUUCUCGAGAUGACAGUCUUAAGCCGGCGCGAAGCCAGCCAAGCAGGCAGGCAACCAACCACACAAUUCUAUACUCUACUUGUCUCAAGAGUCGACGUCGUCGUCGUCGUCGUCGUCUUCGUCGUCGUCGUCGUCGUCGUCGUGGUCGUGGUCUCCCCGUCCGCCGUAAGUCUCGAGACGCGAGCUGAGAGUUUAAACUUUGUCAAUUCGUCCUAUCUGGUUGUGGCGAAGGAAAAGGAAAAUUGAGAAAAUUACGGUAACCGGUGUGUUACGACGACCCCGCGGUAACUGACGCUGCUCCACGAGAAAAAGAUGAACCAACUUUUUUGAAAGAAUUAUGAAAAA